UCCCAUAUGUUCUAGUGGUUAGGAUUUGGCGCUUUCACCGCCAUGGCCUGGGUUCAAUUCCCGGUGUGGGAA
rnacentral:tRNA from 1 species